CGCUUGUUUAACAAAAACAUGUCUUUAUUGAAAAUAAUUUAAAGUCUGACCUGCCCAUUGAUUUAAUAAUUUAAAGGCCGCGGUAUUUUGACCGUGCAAAGGUAGCAUAAUCAUUAGUUUUUUAAUUGUGAACUGGUAUGAAUGGUUGGACAAGAUAUUAGCUGUCUCAUAAUAAUAUUUUGAAUUUUACUUUUUAGUGAAAAGGCUUAAAUUUUUUUGUAGGACGAGAAGACCCUAUAGAUUUUUAUAUUUAAUUUUUAUUAUAAAUUUUGGUUAAUAUUAUUUAUAUUUUGAAUUAUUAUUUGAUUGGGGUGAUUAGAAGAUUUAAUUAACUCUUCAUAUUUAUAUACAAUAAUUAUUGAAUUAUUGAUCCAUUUUUAAUGAUUAUAAGAACAAAUUACCUUAGGGAUAACAGCGUUAUCUUUUUUGAGAGUUGAUAUCUACAAAAAGGAUUGCGACCUCGAUGUUGGAUUAAA
rnacentral:rRNA from 1 species